rnacentral:rRNA from 1 species
AGGAUGAACGCUGGCGGUCUGCUUAACACAUGCAAGUCGAACGGAGUAGCAAUACUUAGUGGCGGACGGGUGAGUAACGCGUGAGAAUCUACCUUCAGGACGGAGACAACAGUUGGAAACGACUGCUAACCCCCGAUGUACCGAAAGGGCAAAUAUUUAUAGCCUGAAGAAGAGCUCGCGUCCGAUUAGCUAGUUGGAGAGGUAAAAAGCUCACCAAGGCGACGAUCGGUAGCUGGUCUGAGAGGACGAUCAGCCACACUGGGACUGAGACACGGCCCAGACUCCUACGGGAGGCAGCAGUGGGAAUUUUCGCAAUGGGCGAAAGCCUGACGGAGCAAGACCGCGUGGGGGAAGAAGGCUCUUGGGUUGUAAAACCCCCUUUUCUCUGGGAAGAACGCAAUGACGUACCAGAGGAAUCAGCAUCGGCUAACUCCGUGCCAGCAGCCGC